rnacentral:rRNA from 1 species
UACGUAGGGUGCGAGCGUUAAUCGGAAUUACUGGGCGUAAAGCGUGCGCAGGCGGUUCGUUAAGACAGAUGUGAAAUCCCCGGGCUUAACCUGGGAACUGCAUUUGUGACUGGCGAGCUAGAGUAUGGCAGAGGGAAGUGGAAUUUCCGGUGUAGCGGUGAAAUGCGUAGAUAUCGGAAGGAACACCAGUGGCGAAAGCGACUUCCUGGUCGAAUACUGACGUUCAUGUGCGAAAGCGUGGGGAGCAAACAG